GAUGAACGCUGGCGGCGUGCCUAAUACAUGCAAGUCGAGCGAACAGACGAGGAGCUUGCUCCUCUGACGUUAGCGGCGGACGGGUGAGUAACACGUGGAUAACCUACCUAUAAGACUGGGAUAACUUCGGGAAACCGGAGCUAAUACCGGAUAAUAUAUUGAACCGCAUGGUUCAAUAGUGAAAGACGGUUUUGCUGUCACUUAUAGAUGGAUCCGCGCCGCAUUAGCUAGUUGGUAAGGUAACGGCUUACCAAGGCGACGAUGCGUAGCCGACCUGAGAGGGUGAUCGGCCACACUGGAACUGAGACACGGUACAGACUCCUACGGGAGGCAGAAGUAGGGAAUCUUCCGCAAUGGGCGAAAGCCUGACGGAGCAACGCCGCGUGAGUGAUGAAGGUCUUCGGAUCGUAAAACUCUGUUAUUAGGGAAGAACAAAUGUGUAAGUAACUAUGCACGUCUUGACGGUACCUAAUCAGAAAGCCACGGCUAACUACGUG
rnacentral:rRNA from 1 species